CCUACGGGAGGCUGCAGUCGAGGAUCUUCGGCAAUGGGCGCAAGCCUGACCGAGCGACGCCGCGUGUGCGAUGAAGGCCUUCGGGUUGUAAAGCACUGUCGAGAGGGAGAAAGCCGAAAGGUUGAUCUAUCUCUGGAGGAAGCACGGGCUAAGUUCGUGCCAGCAGCCGCGGUAAGACGAACCGUGCGAACGUUGUUCGGAAUCACUGGGCUUAAAGGGCGCGUAGGCGGGCGGUCAAGUCCGGGGUGAAAGCCUCCAGCUCAACUGGAGAAGUG
rnacentral:rRNA from 1 species